UACGGAGGAUGCGAGCGUUAUCCGGAUUUAUUGGGUUUAAAGGGAGCGCAGACGGGAUGUUAAGUCAGUUGUGAAAGUUUGCGGCUCAACCGUAAAAUUGCAGUUGAUACUGGCGUCCUUGAGUGCGGUUGAGGUGUGCGGAAUUCGUGGUGUAGCGGUGAAAUGCUUAGAUAUCACGAAGAACCCCGAUUGCGAAGGCAGCACACUAAGCCGUAACUGACGUUCAUGCUCGAAAGUGUGGGUAUCAAACAGG
rnacentral:rRNA from 1 species